GAGUUUGAUCCUGGCUCAGAAUGAAACGCUGGCGGCGUGCUUAACACAUGCAAGUCGCACGAGAACGCUUCAGCUUGCUGAAGCUAGUAAAGUGGCGCACGGGUGAGUAACGCGUGGGUAAUCUACCUUUGAAUCGGGGAUAACUCCGCGAAAGCGGGGCUAAUACCGGAUGACAUUUUAGGGACUCCGGAUCUUAAAAUUAAAGAGGGCCUCUACAUGUAAGCUCUUGUUUGAAGAUUAGCCCGCGUACCAUUAGCUUGUUGGUAGAGUAACAGCCUACCAAGGCUUCGAUGGUUAGCUGGUCUGAGAGGAUGAUCAGCCACACUGGAACUGACACACGGUCCAGACUCCUACGGGAGGCAGCAGUGAGGAAUUUUGCGCAAUGGGGGAAACCCUGACGCAGCAACGCCGCGUGAGUGAUGAAGGCUUUCGGGUCGUAAAGCUCUGUCAAGUGGGAAGAAUCUAUCGCGUGUGAAUACCACGUGAUACUGACGGUACCACUGAAGGAAGCACCGGCUAACUCCGUGCCAGCAGCCGCGGUAAUACGGAGGGUGCAAGCGUUAUUCGGAAUUAUUGGGCGUAAAGGGCGCGUAGGCGGUCUCUUAAGUCAGAUGUGAAAUCCCGGGGCUUAACCCCGGAAGUGCAUUUGAAACGAAGGGACUUGAGUAUGGGGGAGGGAAGUGGAAUUCCUGGUGUAGAGGUGAAAUUCGUAGAUAUCAGGAGGAACACCGGUGGCGAAGGCGACUUCCUGGACCAAUACUGACGCUGAGGCGCGAAGGCGUGGGGAGCAAACAGGAUUAGAUACCCUGGUAGUCCACGCAGUAAACGGUGAACACUAGGUGUAGCGGGUAUUGACCCCUGCUGUGCCGGAGUUAACGCAUUAAGGUCCGCCUGGAAGACCCGAC
rnacentral:rRNA from 1 species